UUUUGUGUUGAUGAUGAUAAAUGUGAUCCCAGCUCAUUAUGAGACCUUCGCGAUUGCUAAGUCAAGGACUAGUGUUUUUCCACAUUUGUCUGAGCCAACC